CUAUAACUACGCUAUAUUGUUUGUCCUCGUGUGUCCGUUCAUGUUUUUCAGCAUAAAGUACUCUGCAACCACUUAGUGUGGUGUGGACACCAGGUUAUAUCAGCUGUGUCGGUGAACCCCUCCUGCAUCUGAACUGGCUACAUAGAGGGCACUGCAUGAUCAGAGGUAUGUUUUGAUGUGAGAGGAUGCCAACCCCCAGUCCCAUCAUCACCACCUCACCUGCUUUUAAGAACCUUUGGGUCGACGAGAGACACUAUUAUGUAAUUGUGAUGAACUGAGAGAAUAUUUAUGUAGCACUGUGAUUCAUUAAUCAUGUGCUGCCUUCCCUGCUCCUAUGUGCUUACCUCUUUCCCUUUCUGUCUUUUACACCUCUCUCACCACCU
rnacentral:lncRNA from 1 species